rnacentral:rRNA from 1 species
CCUACGGGCGGCAGCAGUGAGGAAUAUUGGUCAAUGGGCGAGAGCCUGAACCAGCCAAGUCGCGUGAAGGAUGACGGCCCUACGGGUUGUAAACUUCUUUUGUCAGGGAGCAAUUGGGUCCACGCGUGGGCUUAGCGAGAGUACCUGAAGAAAAAGCAUCGGCUAACUCCGUGCCAGCAGCCGCGGUAAUACGGAGGAUGCGAGCGUUAUCCGGAUUUAUUGGGUUUAAAGGGUGCGUAGGCGGAAUGUAAAGCCAGCGGUAAAAAUUCGGGGCUAAACCCCGUCGUGCCGUUGAAACUGAUGUUCUUGAGUGGGCGAGAGGUAUGCGGAAUGCGCGGUGUAGCGGUGAAAUGCAUAGAUAGCGCGCAGAACUCCGAUUGCGAAGGCAGCAUGCCGGCUCCACACUGACGCUGAGGCACGAAAGCGUGGGUAUCGAACAGGAUUAGAUACCCGAGUAGUC